rnacentral:rRNA from 1 species
UACGAAGGGUGCAAACGUUGCUCGGAAUCAUUGGGCGUAAAGCGCACGUAGGCGGCCUCAUAAGUCGGAUGUGAAAUCCCUCGGCUCAACCCGAGGACGUGCAUCCGAAACUGUGAAGCUCGAGUAUGGAAGAGGGUCGACGGAAUUCCCGGUGUAGAGGUGAAAUUCGUAGAUAUCGGGAGGAACACCAGUGGCGAAGGCGGCGACCUGGGCCAAUACGUGACGCUGAGGUGCGAAAGCGUGGGGAGCAAACAGGA